UUUUGAGUGAUUUUAGUGCGUUUUUUUAAAUAAGUAAUAAAAUUAAAAACUUCCUUUUUGCUAAAAAAUUAUAAAGAAGUGUGAAAUGGGUCACAAAGGUAUAUUAAAAAAAAGGAACUACAAAUCAUUCCUUUCACAGGUAAAUAGCCUGCCUGAACGCCCUUGUUACAGUUCCAUCCAUCACAGUGAUGGGCAAAACGCCGGAGCACAACAUACAUCUUAUUCCGAUUCCCUGUUUAAUUUAAUGCGGUAUAAAGCGAAUACUGAAUACAUUUGACUGCUACUGACACCAUCAAUGUAUCAACGACAACACACCGCUUUAAGGUUGAGGACUAAUAUGGUAAGAACUGGCCGGAAAAGGAAACGAAGGUUUCUGAAUUUACGAGAAUAGUUAGUUUAGUUCAAUUAUAAUUUUUAGUCGAAUAAAUGUUUACUUUUU